rnacentral:rRNA from 1 species
UACGGGGGGGGGCAAGCGUUGUUCGGAAUUACUGGGCGUAAAGGGCUCGUAGGCGGCCAACUAAGUCAGACGUGAAAUCCCUCGGCUUAACCGGGGAACUGCGUCUGAUACUGGAUGGCUUGAAUCCGGGAGAGGGAUGCGGAAUUCCAGGUGUAGCGGUGAAAUGCGUAGAUAUCUGGAGGAACACCGGUGGCGAAGGCGGCAUCCUGGACCAAUACUGACGAUCAGGUGCGAAAGCGUGGGGAGCAAACAGG